CUAAUACAUGCAAGUCGAGCGGACAGAUGGGAGCUUGCUCCCUGAUGUUAGCGGCGGACGGGUGAGUAACACGUGGGUAACCUGCCUGUAAGACUGGGAUAACUCCGGGAAACCGGGGCUAAUACCGGAUGGUUGUUUGAACCGCAUGGUUCAAACAUAAAAGGUGGCUUCGGCUACCACUUACAGAUGGACCCGCGGCGCAUUAGCUAGUUGGUGAGGUAACGGCUCACCAAGGCAACGAUGCGUAGCCGACCUGAGAGGGUGAUCGGCCACACUGGGACUGAGACACGGCCCAGACUCCUACGGGAGGCAGCAGUAGGGAAUCUUCCGCAAUGGACGAAAGUCUGACGGAGCAACGCCGCGUGAGUGAUGAAGGUUUUCGGAUCGUAAAGCUCUGUUGUUAGGGAAGAACAAGUACCGUUCGAAUAGGGCGGUACCUUGACGGUACCUAACCAGAAAGCCACGGCUAACUACGUGCCAGCAGCCGCGGUAAUACGUAGGUGGCAAGCGUUGUCCGGAAUUAUUGGGCGUAAAGGGCUCGCAGGCGGUUUCUUAAGUCUGAUGUGAAAGCCCCCGGCUCAACCGGGGAGGGUCAUUGGAAACUGGGGAACUUGAGUGCAGAAGAGGAGAGUGGAAUUCCACGUGUAGCGGUGAAAUGCGUAGAGAUGUGGAGGAACACCAGUGGCGAAGGCGACUCUCUGGUCUGUAACUGACGCUGAGGAGCGAAAGCGUGGGGAGCGAACAGGAUUAGAUACCCU
rnacentral:rRNA from 1 species